rnacentral:rRNA from 1 species
CUACGGGAGGCAGCAGUGGGGAAUAUUGGACAAUGGGCGAAAGCCUGAUCCAGCAAUGCCGCGUGAGUGAAGAAGGCCUUAGGGUUGUAAAGCUCUUUCGCCUGCGACGAUGAUGACGGUAGCAGGAGAAGAAGCCCCGGCUAAUUCCGUGCCAGCAGCCGCGGUAAUACGGAAGGGGCUAGCGUUGUUCGGAAUCACUGGGCGUAAAGCGCGCGUAGGCGGCUUGGCAAGUGAGGCGUGAAAGUCCUGGGCUCAACCUGGGGACUGCGCUUCAGACUGCUUGGCUUGAGUCCGGAAGAGGGUGGUGGAAUUCCGAGUGUAGAGGUGAAAUUCGUAGAUAUUCGGAGGAACACCGGCGGCGAAGGCGGCCACCUGGUCCGGAACUGACGCUCAAGUGCGAAAGCGUGGGGAGCAAACAGGAUUAGAAACCCCAGUAGUCC